CUUAAAUAAGACAUUUAACCCUCCAAAGUUAUCUCCAAGUGAACCCAAGUGAAAGAGAGGGAAUAGGAAGCAAAGAUGAAUAGAAAACAAGAAGAUGGAACUACAGUUUGAGCAGGUGAGUUUAACUUACGGUUUUGAAGUUUUUUUUUCCAGUUCUUUUGGGUGUUUUAUAACCUACUGAAACUCUAAACUUACUUGAGGUUAGGUGGGAGUUUUUGAUGAUUUUAUGAUGACAAAAUAUGGGCAAUUAGUUACAAGAACUUGAAAUAAAAAAAAUAAAAUAAAUAAACAACCUAGAUAGAGAUGUGGAUUGCUAGAUUUGAAUGGUUUCAAUCUUGAUUUUGGAUGAUAGUUAGAGUAUAACUUAUAUCUAUCAAUAUGAAUGUUUUUAUACACAAUCAAGAAGUAUAUAAAUAAUUUUUAAUGGCCUAGAAUUCUAUUGGUGGCAUACUAAUACAAUGGAAACCGAAAAUUGUCACAAGGAAACUACCUGAUUUAGUGUUGUGAAAAAGGGACUGUUUUUGAAACUAUAAACCCUUCAUUUGUCACAACUUUAUGAUAUGAUUACCUUCACAUAUAUGUUAUAGAAGUUUGGUAAAAAUUUGGGAGUCGUUAGAUAUAGUUAAGGGUGUGAAAAAGGAUUGGAAAAUAAUUGGAAGGUGAUGGAAACUUGGAAACAUAUUCUGUCCAUUUGCUUGUUUAAUGUAGUUUCAACCUUCACAUGUCCAUUAAUCAUCUCCUGAGCGUAGAAAAUAGAUUCUAAGGAUGCUAGGUUGUUGACAACAAUUUGAUGAUGUUGAUGUUCAUAAUUGGACUCAAAAAAUAGUGAGAUUUCUGGGACUAGUUUGUAGUGACAUUGGUAACUAGAAAUGAUGAUGUAGUCUAAAUUAUUUUGGCGUGAAUGAACGUAUUUUGGGAUUGUGUAUGUUAAUGUUAUUAAAUUGAGGAUCGUGUUUAAUAUUAAACGGUAAUACAUGUGGUUUUCCGACUUUAGGAAAUUGAUUUACACUCCGUAGAAAGAUCACACACAAAGGCAAAAAGGUACGUAAAAAUUCUUUCGCAACUACACUGUAAGAAUAUAAUAUUUGUGAGAUAAUAAUGUUAAGACAUUUACAUAGCUUUGAUAUCAAGCUCAUUGUAUAUCAUAUGAUGGUUAUGAUUAUUGAGUAUGUGGUUUCGGAUCAUGUUGACAUUGAUGUUGAUUAAGUAUGUUAUUCCCGAGCAUUUUCAUGAACAUGCACAACAUAUGUCCAUGGUUGAAAAUUUAGCAUGCACAACAUGAUUUUAAAAUUGAGUUUUACCUUAUAAAUGUUUUGUUGACCAUUACUAGGGUACCGAUGCAUGUGAGGCAUGCUUGUAUAAUAUAUUUCGACAUUGUAGGCGAUACUUACUGAGUGAUUGCAAGGAUAGAUAGGGGAUGAGCUUUUGGUGAUCACAGAAGGGUGGACCACUCGACUGUGUCAUUAUAAUGUUAUGAUUAUUGGCGUUGUCGGGUGGGAUACUUCUUGAGUGAUCAUAGAGGUAAUUAGAGAAUAGGCCUUCAGUGGUCACAAGAUGGUGGUCCACUUGCCGGUGUCAAUUUCAUAUCGGUCAUUUGAUUAUUGAUUAUAGAUAUUGAUACUGAUAUUGUGUAGAGCUUUAUUCGGUGUAUAGUAGGAAGGACAAAGGCCCAAUGAAAGAUUUCAAAUGAAGUUAUUUUGAGUUGACUUUGACAAAUACUUGAAUAUGAUGCAUCAUUAGUAUAAUGUUUAAAGUAAAUGACAUGUUAUAUAUUAUUGUUACUUGUACUCAUGGCAUGCAUGAUUUUUGCUUACUGAGUAUUAGCUUAUAUAGUUCUUGCAUUGUAGGUGAGUAUGAGACUUCAAAAAGGUUAAAGCUAGCUUGGAGCUCUUGCGGGAUUCAGGAGUUCAAUGUAUAUGGAUGACGGCAUGUAGGAUUAUCUUGUGGGCUUUUGUUUUUGUCUUAUAAUUUAUUGUAUUACAUUUGGAGAAUCAUGUACUCUACAUAUGACUUUUGAAAUGACAUGGUAGAUACUUCUAGAAUUCUUAAAAUAAAUAUGUUGAA
rnacentral:lncRNA from 1 species